UACGAAGGGGGCUAGCGUUGCUCGGAAUCACUGGGCGUAAAGGGCGCGUAGGCGGAUCUUUAAGUCGGGGGUGAAAGCCCAGGGCUCAACCCUGGAAUUGCCUUCGAUACUGGAGAUCUUGAGACCGGAAGAGGUAAGUGGAACUGCGAGUGUAGAGGUGAAAUUCGUAGAUAUUCGCAAGAACACCAGUGGCGAAGGCGGCUCACUGGCCCGAUACUGACGCUGAUGCACGAAAGCGUGGGGAGCAAACAGG
rnacentral:rRNA from 1 species